rnacentral:rRNA from 1 species
UACGGAGGGUGCGAGCGUUGUCCGGAAUCACUGGGCGUAAAGGGCGCGUAGGCGGCUUGGGAAGUCUGUGGUGAAGGCUCGUGGCUCAACUGCGAGUCGGCCAUAGAUACUCCUAAGCUCGAGUCGACUAGAGGCAGAUGGAAUUCCGGGUGUAGCGGUGGAAUGCGUAGAGAUCCGGAAGAACACCGGUGGCGAAGGCGGUCUGCUGGGGUCGAACUGACGCUGAGGCGCGACAGCGUGGGGAGCAAACAGG